rnacentral:rRNA from 1 species
UACGUAGGGUGCAAGCGUUAAUCGGAAUUACUGGGCGUAAAGCGUGCGCAGGCGGUUUUGUAAGUUUGUCGUGAAAUCCCCCGGGCUCAACCUGGGAAUGGCGAUGAAGACUGCAAGGCUAGAGUUUGGCAGAGGGGGGUAGAAUUCCACGUGUAGCAGUGAAAUGCGUAGAGAUGUGGAGGAACACCGAUGGCGAAGGCAGCCCCCUGGGUCAAGAUUGACGCUCAUGCACGAAAGCGUGGGGAGCAAACAGG